rnacentral:rRNA from 1 species
UAGGGAAUAUUGGACAAUGGGUGCAAGCCUGAUCCAGCCAUGCCGCGUGCAGGAAGAAGGCCUUAUGGGUUGUAAACUGCUUUUGCCAGGGGAUAAAAAGCUCGUGCGCGAGAAAUUGAAGGUACCUGGUGAAUAAGCCACGGCUAACUACGUGCCAGCAGCCGCGGUAAUACGUAGGUGGCAAGCGUUGUCCGGAUUUAUUGGGUUUAAAGGGUGCGUAGGUGGUCUAUUAAGUCAGUGCUGAAAUAUCCCGGCUUAACCGGGAGGGUGGCAUUGAUACUGAUGGACUUGAGUGAAGUCGAGGUAGGCGGAAUUGACGGUGUAGCGGUGAAAUGCUUAGAUAUCGUCAAGAACACCGAUAGUGUAGACAGCUUACUAGGCUUUAACUGACACUGAGGCACGAAAGUGUGGGGAUCAAACAGGAUUAGAUACCCUGGUAGUCCACACUGUAAACGUUGAUGACUCGCUGUUGGCGAUAUACAGUCAGCGGCUUAGAGAAAUCGUUAAGUCAUCCACCUGGGGAGUACGCCGGCAACGGUG